UUAAAAAUUACUUUGUAAAUUGUUGUAUCAAUCAACACUUUAAAAUUUCUUUUCACAUGAAGAUGGGUAAUUCUUUGGCCGUCUCCUAUAACUAUUUCUAGAUACAUACCUCACAUUUUUAGAUGGAAGAGUAUCACAAAUUCCAAACUUUUUAGGGUAGCCUUCAACCACCUACCAUCUUCAUCCCUCAAAAGAAUUGUUCUCUUUAAUAAUUAAUUGUAAACUUUAAAUUUCAUAAAUUCAAGUAUUAAAUUAAAAGUUAAUGUAUGAUUGGAUCAACUCAAUAAAUUCUCAUAAAAUUAAACAGUUCAAUU
rnacentral:lncRNA from 1 species